GCCUGGGUGGCUUAGUCGGUUGAGCGUCCGACUUCAGCUCAGGUCACGAUCUCGCAGUCCGUGAGUUCGAGCCCCGCGUCAGGCU
rnacentral:tRNA from 1 species